rnacentral:rRNA from 1 species
UACGGAUGGUGCAAGCGUUAAUCGGAAUUACUGGGCGUAAAGCGCACGCAGGCGGUUUGGUAAGUCCGAUGUGAAAUCCCCGGGCUCAACCUGGGAACUGCAUCUGAUACUGGCAAGCUUGAGUCUCGUAGAGGUGGGUGGAAUUCCGGGUGUAGAGGUGAAAUGCGUAGAGAUCUGGAGGAAUACCGGUGGCGAAGGCGGCCCCCUGGACGAAGUCUGACGCUCAGGUGCGAAAGCGUGGGGAGCAAACAGG